rnacentral:lncRNA from 1 species
GAGCAAUAGUCCACUGAAUACAGCUUAUGUGUGUGUGUGUGUGUGUGUGUGUUUGUGUGUGUGUGUGUGUGUGUUUGCUUAGUACAUGUCACUUUGUACUGCACGGGACAAACACUAAGACAUCCAGCUCUCAGAAGAAUUACAGUCAUACCAACAUUAACUGGUGAGUCACUAUGAUGAGUGUGCUGCAGUUUGCUUGUGACAAACAGAGAAAAGACUAAAGUGUAUGUGAGUGCAGAAUGCAAGUGUUUGUGUGUGUGUGUGUGUGUAUGUAUGUGUAGUUAAGAGUUUAGUGUUUACUUAAGGCUUCAUUCUGAACCUUGAUCAGAACAAACGAGUUUGGGUUGCAAACGUGUGUGUGUGUGUGUGUGUGUACCUCAUCUCGCUCCUGAGUGUUUUGAGCUGGCUCUGUAGUUGUGUGUGUGUGUGUGUGUGUGUGUGUGUGUCUGUGUGUGUGUGUAUGUGUGUGUACCUCAUCUCGCUCCUGAGUGUUUUGAGCUGGCUCUGUAGUUGUUCGUUGGCCUCCUGCUGUUCGUCCAGGUCUCUCUGCAGCUUCUUCUUGCCGUGCUCCAGGCGGUCAAUCUCCUCCUCCGCCUCGUCCAUCUGACGCUUCAGGGCCUUCAGACGCAGGUUCAGCUACACACCCACCCACACACACACACACACACACACACACACACACACACACACACACACACACACACACACACACACACCCGUUAUAACUUAUGUUAAGUUUCUACAAUUAUCACAGAAAUAUAUGUGUGUGUGUGUGUGUACCUGGUCUUUCUGGUCCUGUAGAGUGUGGUGUUCAUCAUCCACUUGCAUCAUCAUCUCCUUCACCUUCCUCUCCAGCCUGCGAUUGGCCUGCUGCAGAUUGCCUCUUUCCCUCUACGCUCCUCUCUCAGCCUCUCCUCCAGCUCACGAUGCUCCUGAGUCAGACGAGUCAGGUUCCUCUGCAGGGAGGACACACACACACACACACACACACACACACACACACACACACACACACACACACACACACACACACACACAGACAUGAAUACAUAUGCUUGCAAAU